UUUGACCUCAAAUCAGGUAGG
rnacentral:rRNA from 6 species